CCCAAGGCGAUCGGGUGAACUGUGGUUAAGGAACUCGGCAAAUUGCCCCCGUAACUUCGGGAGAAGGGGGACCUCUGCUGGUGAUGGGCUUUACGUUCUGAGCUGGUGGGGGUCGCAGUGGCCAGGGGGAAGCGACUGUUUACUAAAAACACAGGUCCGUGCGAAGUCGUAAGACGAUGUAUACGGACUGACGCCUGCCCGGUGCCGGAACGUUAAGGGGACCGCUUAGCCAGCUUCGGUUGGCGUAGGUGAGAACUUAAGCGCCGGUAAACGGCGGUGGUAACUAUAACCAUCCUAAGGUAGCGAAAUUCCUUGUCGGGUAAGUUCCGACCUGCACGAAUGGCGUAACGACUUCCCCGCUGUCUCAACCACAGACCCGGCGAAAUUGCACUACGAGUAAAGAUGCUCGUUUCGCGCAGCAGGACGGAAAGACCCCGGGACCUUCACUACAGCUUGACAUUGGCGUUUGGAACGUCUUGUGUAGGAUAGGUGGGAGACUAGGAAGCUGUCACGCUAGUGAUGGUGGAGUCAUUGGUGAAAUACCACUCUGGUCGUUUUGAACGUCUAACUCUGGUCCGUGAUCCGGAUCGGGGACAGUGUCUGGUGGGUAGUUUAACUGGGGCGGUUGCCUCCUAAAGAGUAACGGAGGCGCCCAAAGGUUCCCUCAGCCUGGUUGGCAAUCAGGUGUUGAGUGUAAGUGCACAAGGGAGCUUGACUGUGAGACUGACAGGUCGAGCAGGAGCGAAAGCUGGGACUAGUGAUCCGGCAUCGGCGUGUGGAAGCGGUGUCGCUCAACGGCUAAAAGGUACCCCGGGGAUAACAGGCUGAUCUUCCCCAAGAGUCCAUAUCGACGGGAUGGUUUGGCACCUCGAUGUCGGCUCGUCGCAUCCUGGGGCUGGAGUAGUCCCAAGGGUUGGGCUGUUCGCCCAUUAAAGCGGUACGCGAGCUGGGUUUAGAACGUCGCGAGACAGUUCGGUCCCUAUCCGCUGCGCGCGCAGGAGACUUGAAGGGGGCUGUCCCUAGUACGAGAGGACCGGGACGGACGAACCUCUGGUGUGCCAGUUGUACCGCCAGGUGCACGGCUGGUUGGCUACGUUCGGAAGGGAUAACCGCUGAAAGCAUCUAAGCGGGAAGCUCGCCUUGAGAUGAGGUCUCCCACCCCGUGAGGGGGUAAGGCUCCCGGUAGAUCACCGGGUUGAUAGGCCGGAGGUGGAAGCACGGUAACGUGUGGAGCUGACCGGUACUAAUAGGACGAGGACUUGACCAC
rnacentral:rRNA from 1 species